GACCCUGUUGAGCUUGACUCUAGUUUGACAUUGUGAAAAGACAUAGGGGGUGUAGAAUAGGUGGGAGCUUCGGCGCCGGUGAAAUACCACUACCCUUAUCGUUUUUUUACUUAAUCAAUGAAGCGGAACUGGUCUUCAUCGACCAUUUUCUUGCAUUAAAGUCCUUCGCGGGCUGAUCCGGGUUGAUGACAUUGUCAGGUGGGGAGUUUGGGUGGGGGGGCACAUCCGGAAAA
rnacentral:rRNA from 1 species